AGAUGUGUUAAUAAUAAAAAGCUAAACCCUUUGAGAUUUUUCUGUGUGGAAUAAAUAUACGGACUACCGUUUUGAACCAAAGCGAGAUUAUGGAACGCCAGCUCAUCAUUAAUCAAGUAUUGAUUGAUAUUAAUCUUUCUAUAUAGUCGUUAUUAUCAUAAUAAAAAAAAAUUAUGCUUAGUGAUGUAUUUUUAAUAGAAUUGAUGAUAUUUAUGACGAAUAUUUUUGUCACUAGGAACCAGUUUUCAAACCUCAGUCUACCUAAUCAAAAAAGUUAUUACAAGAUCUUCACCUAUUCUUGUGGAUGCAUUCAAAAGAAAAUAUCAGUGAUUUUCGUUGAGUUAAAACAUUCAUUUACAUUGAGAUAUAUUCUAAUUCAUACCUUGUGAUUUUGCUAGAAAUUGUAUUAGCUCAUAUUUAUUUAAAUGUUUCAUCUAAAUAACUUAUUGAAUACGGUUUCUUUUAAAUUUUGGAUCGAGCAUUCAAAUAAAGAUUUUUUAUUUGCUUAAUUGUUGUAUAAAUGAAUUUAAUAAAAAUGAAUAUUUUUAUAUAUCAAUAUUAAGAUUAACAACAAUGGUAAUCAGUUAAGAAAAAAAUGUGUAUAUUUCUAUCUUUAUUUUAAUCAAACUGAAAACAGAAACUAUGGUCUAAGUGAUAUGAUUAACAGAAUCAGGAUACUCUAGACGAAUGUAAUCGUACAUGAGUCCUUGAAACGGGCUUAUGGCUAGCGGUUGGGUUAGAUAUAUGGAGUUACAUCCCAGACCAAGAGAAGAAGCUGGUACAUCCACACUGUAUAACCAAUAGAGUCCAUGUAUACCAUGUCUUGCAAUUGUAUUAUCUUUUCCUAUUUGCCCCGUCGUAAACAAUGGAGGAUCAACUGAAACAUCGUUCACCCGAACCUACAAAAAAUAAAGACCAAAGAUCAGCUGCCAAAGAUACCAAAUGCAAGUUAGUUUUCGGAACUUUCAACUUAAAAUUAAUUGGCAAUAAAUAGAUCGAUUUAAAUAUGUUGGAUCUCAAAAAAAAAACUGAAUGUUAUCACUUAUAUAGUGAAA